rnacentral:lncRNA from 1 species
CUCCCUUGACCGUUGCCUGGUUAGGUUUCCCAAACUAGCUCUUCCAGUGAUGCCGUCUCUCCCUCCAUCUUCUCCUGGAGUUUGCAUUAGCGCCCCCAUUUUGCAGAUGGGGAAGCUAAGGCCCACGGAGGGAAAGGUGCAUUCUCGAGGUACCCAGCACCCCAGUGUUAGGCCUGUAUCUCCUUCCCCGAGGCCCUUGUUCACCCUCCACCUCUGGGCACUGGGCCCUUCCUGCAGCUUCACUAGAGUCUCCUGCUGCUGCCGUCACCCCAAGAGUCAUUCCCCACCCACAGGCAGAUGAAGAGGCCCCAGCUGCCCUCUGAAAGCACAGGGCUGGCUUCUUUGCAUCCUCACCAUGCAGCCCUCCUGGCCAGCCCCAGGGCUCAGUGCCUGGCACCCACCUGAUGUGCCAGGAGGAGAGACCAGGCCAGGUAGGGAAACUGGAUACCCAAAGCUCAGGUUCUUACCAGCUCCAGAUCAGAUGCUUUGGGAGGUGGCAAGCUCUAGAAAGUGUGCAGAGGAGGGGCAGCUGAGGGUUCUUACCUGCUGGCCCCUCAGGACUGGGGUGCAGCUCCCUCCCCAGGCCUCGCAGUUCCAUAUUUGGACAAGAGCAGCUGCUGGUCCAGAGCCUUUCAUGGGGAGAGGGCCAGGCCUGGGGUGGGGAGACCCAGUGUUUGUCCAGGCCAUGUGUAAGCAGUGGGUCUGGGGGCCGCCUCUGGGGUGGGGCACCUGGUAUGACAAUCAGUGACAGGAAGCCUGGACCAGCUCCCCUACCCAUCGCCAAGGCUUGGGAUCUAUUCCUAGUGCCCCACUCAGGAGGGAACAGGUUGAGCCCGGGGAUCAGAGAGACCAAGGGCUCAAGAGAUUUAGGUCUCACCCCUUAGUAGGGAGGGACUCCCUAGCAAGCAAUCGGAGCGUGGGGGCAGUCCCAGGCGGGGGAACUGAGCUCCCCGUCUUUGCAGGCAGCACAGCAGCUGUCCAGGGUGAUAGAGGGGGUCCCUGUCCUGUGGAAGGUUCCUGUCACAGAGAGCCUGUCACCACAUGGGGCACACCUCCCUCAUUGGACCAACAAACCCCCCUCUCCUUGCUCGUUUAUUAUUUUGAGAUGGAGUCUUGCUCUGUCACCCAGCUUGGAGGGCAGUACUGCGACCUCGGCUCACUGCAACCUCUGCCUCCUGGGUUCAAGGGAUUCUCCUGCCUCAGUCUCCCGAGUAACUGGGACUACAGGUGUGUGCUACCAUGCCCGGCUAGUUUUUGUAUUUGUAGUAGAGAUGGGGUUUCACUAUGUUGGCCAGGCUGGUCUCGAACUCCUGACCUCAGGUGAUCUGCCCACCUCGGCCUCCCACAGUGCUGAGAUCACAGA